UGUGGGUUUUUUUGUAAGUAACCUCAGACUGUGGAGCAAAAGAGAUAAUGGGAAGCUCCGGGUCAAAAACAGGCAGCCCAGAAUCAGAAAAAACCGCAUUAAAGAAAAUGUGUAAGAUCUACAAAGAUCGUAUGCCAUCUAGGUUGAAUUUAAAAAGAUUAGAAAUUCUACGGGCCGCCACCCAAUACUGGGAUGACAUCCAAGAAAGAAAACUAGGAAAAGAAAAAUUAGAAACCAAGUUGCUAACCUUGCAAAUAGAACAGCUCCAGACUCAAAUCCUACCUUAAGAAGUUUGGCUAAACAGUGCAUAGACGCAGUAUUGCAACUAAGAAGACCUAAAAAUAAAAACAGCUAUGAUACCAAAUUUCUCAUUAUUAGCAAGCUACAUGAUACAAAUUGAUACAAGCCACAAGAUUCAGUCCCUGAACCGCUAAAAUGGUCAGAGAUGAGAAGACUUAAUAACCUCAUUAACCAAAAUUCAUGCACUGGGCUUGCGAAUAGCAUAUUACUCUGCACAAUUAGACGCAGCUGCACAAGGAUUUCCACCUUGCUCCAAGCAGUGGCUGCUACCGCCUUGCUUGUAAAGAAAAAGCAGCUGAUUUGAAAUUAAAAAAAAAAAAAAAUGUGGGUUAGAGUUCCACCGUCGCAGCCCUGUUGAUAACCAAAUCUACACAAUUUCUAUCAAAUCAGAGAUUGACUCGAUACGAGCAGAUACUACCAGCAAUUACCCUUAAACAGUGCACUACCUUAAAUGAUUGCGAAGUGGUAAUUCAAGAAUUUGACUGAUGUUACAUUGCCAGCUCCAGAUAUAGUUCUGUUUACUGAUAGCUCUUGUAAAGGAAACAGCUGGGGAGAGCUAGUAGCCAGAUAUGCAGUAAUUUCUCAAGUACUGAUAAAAUAAAAAUAAAAAGGAAGUGUAUACCACAUUAGAAAGUUUCGCUCUGCCACGAAGUGCACAAGCCGCAGAAUUAAUUGCUUUAACCAGAACCUAGCAAAAAGUUUGUCAAUAAAUAUUCAUACAAUA